UACGUAGGGGGCAAGCGUUGUCCGGAUUUAUUGGGCGUAAAGGGCUCGUAGGCGGCCAACUAAGUCAGACGUGAAAUCCCUCGGCUUAACCGGGGAACUGCAUCUGAUACUGGAUGGCUUGAGUUCGGGAGAGGGAUGCGGAAUUCCAGGUGUAGCGGUGAAAUGCGUAGAUAUCUGGAGGAACACCGGUGGCGAAGGCGGCAUCCUGGACCGACACUGACACUGAGGAGCGAAAGCCAGGGGAGCAAACGGG
rnacentral:rRNA from 1 species